AUCGCGUAUCAAACGGCAUAAGAUUGUAACCAAGAAAAAUGCGAUCUUAGUGACAAAAGGGCGUACAAUUUUUGUCUUCUCACCAUUUGCUCUAAAUUUGGUCAAAACUUGCAUAAUUCAAUCGAAAUCAAACACUUGAAAAUAUAAAGGCAAAAGUUCGUGUGUCAGGCAGAUGAAAUCUUUUUCCAUUAAUAAGUACACGGAAAAAAAAGAUCAAAACUGAAAUCCGUAACAACCAUUCUU